GCUGAAUCUUAUUGGUGGAUGCUGGGAAAGGCUGAAUCUUAUUGGUGGAUGCUGGGAAAGGCUGAAUCUUAUUGGUGGAUGCUGGGAAGGCUGAAUCUUAUUGGUGGAUGCUGGGAAAGGCUGAAUCUUAUUGGUGGAUGCUGGGGAAGGCUGAAUCUUAUUGGUGGAUGCUGGGAAAGGCUGAAUCUUAUUGGUGGAUGCUGGGAAAGGCUGAAUCUUAUUGGUGGAUGCUGGGAAAGGCUGAAUCUUAUUGGUGGAUGCUGGGAAAGGCUGAAUCUUAUUGGUGGAUGCUGGGAAAGGCUGAAUCUUAUUGGUGGAUGCUGGGAAAGGCUGAAUCUUAUUGGUGGAUGCUGGGAAAGGCUGAAUCUUAUUGGUAGAUGCUGGGGAAAGCGGUGAAUCUUAUUGGUGGAUGCUGAGCUGUUAUGGGAGGAGCUUAUUCGCCAAGUCAGCUUAACCACAGCUUACGCCAGAUUUUUAAAACAUUGCAUUAGUAUUUAUUGACUUAAGUGGUUAGUUUGGCUUUUCUUUCCUUCUCUGGGGACGGAGUUGGUAGGAAGAGUUAGAUUUCCACGGAGUUACGUCAACACACAUUACAGAAUCAGUCAUAAAAAGUGAUAUA